rnacentral:rRNA from 1 species
UACGAAGGGGGCGAGCGUUGUUCGGAUUUACUGGGCGUAAAGGGCGCGUAGGCGGCCUUGUCAGUCAGGCGUGAAAGCCCCGGGCUCAACCUGGGAACGGCGCUUGGGACGGCGAGGCUGGAGUUCGGGAGAGGAGAGUGGAAUUCCCAGUGUAGAGGUGAAAUUCGUAGAUAUUGGAAAGAACACCGGUGGCGAAGGCGGCUCUCUGGACCGACACUGACGCUGAGGCGCGAAAGCGUGAGGAGCAAACAGG